AGCAACCCUUCUCCCCUUAACCCUCCCUCCCCACCUUCAUCCCGGACUCACAGGAGAGCUGGUUCAACAGCCUGCUGAGCCAUCCCAUGCUCCCGCGCCGAGCUCGUAGCUACGAAACGCCGGAGAGAAACAGGGAGCAAGCAGCGCUUUGGGAAACGGCUUCGAGCAGCGGCUGUCGGAGGCCAGAAGGCACCAACUUACUUUUGUCCGAGAGAUGGAGGGUCCGGGCGGUGGGAGGGCUCUGGGGGGCUUCCAGAUGGUGUUGGGAUGGAGAAGGAGAAGUGGUGCUGAAGGAGCAGGGAGAGACUCCCAGGAGCGGUGCUGGGGGUGUCCUCCGAGCUGUAGGGUGGGUGGCCGCGGUCCCCACCGGUUCGGUUGCUGCAGGUAGUUGCUGCCAUCUGCAGGCUGGCCGACCUCAGCUGGAGGAGAGGUACCCUUCGGGCUCCUGCCAGCAAGUUCAAGGUAUGCAGUUAUCGAUGUGCUUUGAAAGUCCGCCUUUUUUUUUUUCUUUUCACUUUUCAGGGGUGAAAAAUUCAUUUUCCUGUGCUCUGAGAACAACAGGGGGAAAGGCAGAUCGCCCUUCGUGCAGCCCCCAGUGCCGGCUGCUCGGCAGCACUGGGUGAUGGGGAUACCACAGGGGGUGGCACAGCUUGCCCAAGUGAGGUUUGUGGCACCCAGGCGGUUUUGGAGGGUCUGUCAUUAUAAGGAGUGGCACAGGUUGCCUAGAGAUGUGGUGGAUGUCCCUGCAGACAGCCAAGGUCAGGCUGGAUGGGACUUUGAGCACUGAUGGAGCUGUGGGCAUCCCUGCUCAUUGCAGGCAGUCAGACCAGGUAGCCUUUAAGGGUCCCUUCCAACUCAAACAGUUCAAUGAUUCUAUGACUCUAUGAUUAAUGCUGGAAAACAUCCCAAAGAUCACCCGUCAUGCGCACCCCACCAUGCCCACUGACCACACCAUCAGUGCCACAUCUCCACGGUUCCUGAACACCUCCAUCCCCCACAAAGUAACCACUGACCUA
rnacentral:lncRNA from 1 species